UCUCUCAAUUAUGCAUCUUAAAGCAUUAUGAAAAUAUUCUUGAAAUUGCAAUGGUACUAAAGUUGUUGUACUCCUCGCUCUGCUUCUCCAUGUGCUGUGCAUGGUGUCUUGUGACUUCUAGGAAAUACAAUCCGAGUAGUAAUGCGUUGCAUCCCUCCUGGAUUCCCUAUGUUGCGUCGAAACCUGGCGAAGAACAGCUACACUUCUCCCUCAAACUCAUGACAGAUGACUGGAGGUAUGAGCGACCAUCUAACGCUUACUUUCUGGGAGAUUUCAUAAACCUGGAAGCGUCAGUGGUGCUAAUCACGUUCCUCUGCGGGUGUUCGUGGAAAGCUGCGCAGCUACUUUGGGCCCCAGCGGGGAAGUUGCCUCCAUGUACACGAUCAUCGAGAACAGCGGAUGCAUGAUGGAUGCCAAGCUGACAAAUUCCAGGU